AUUUAAAUAGCUUAAUUAGAGCAAAACAUUGAAGAUGUUGAGGUGAUAAAAUUUUAUCUUUAAAUA
rnacentral:tRNA from 1 species